UACAAUGUUCUUCCGCAAGAUGCAUGCCGUUCUGUUUAACCGUUAGAGCGCCAAAAGUUAUGGACAUGUUUAUAUAUUAUAUGUUGUGUUUGUGAAUGAAGGAGAUUUAUUGGAUGGGGCACGCGCGAGACAAAUUCGAAAUUUUAAAUGAGCAAGUCUAACGGACUUUCGGAGAAUCUUGAGUACUGCGCAUGCGCAUCAUUUUGUUCUGUAACGGUCGACUUCCAGCAGACGGACACGGAGUAAAAGCAGCUGGAGGAGAGACAGCCUGUGCAGCAACAACAAGACAACAAUGAUUAUAAGCAGGGAUAAUCUCCAGGUGGACUGCACGGGUCCAGGAUCAAGAGAUCAUUCAUCAUGCAGACCAUGUUCCAGGAGAAGCAGCGUGUCACGUAACUCAUGAAGACGAGAUAGAUCCAAAUGCAGCAAUGGUGUUUAUUGAGGGCAAAUCCAUAAGGCGUAAUCCAGAGUACAGGCAGGGGUCAGAAUCCAAAACAACAGUCCAAACAUAAAACAAGAAACAAGAAACUACAAACCAAAACGGGGAAACAUGAAAACCAGGGAUCAGACUCGAGGGUGACAUUCAACAAUGAACCACAAGAACAGACAGAAACAACUCAGACUAAAUACACAGACACUAAUGACAAAAUAAACAACAGCUGGGUGCAAUGAUGAAUAGUGAUUAGUCCGGGGAGUGUGUAUGGGAAAUGUAGUCCAUGAAAUGGGUGAAACAGAGAGUCCGGGAAGGAGUGCCCUCUAGUGGCUGAAGGGCACUCUCACAGGUGAUCGUGACAUUACCCCCCCUUAAAGGAGCG